rnacentral:rRNA from 1 species
AUUGAACGCUGGCGGCAGGCCUAACACAUGCAAGUCGAACGAGUGGCGGACGGGUGAGUAAUGUCUGGGAACCUGCCUGAUGGAGGGGGAUAACUACUGGAAACGGUAGCUAAUACCGCAUACCAUCAGAUGUGCCCAGAUGGGCUUAGCUUGUGGUGGGGGUAACGGCUCACCAAGGCGACGAUCCCUAGCUGGUCUGAGAGGAUGACCAGCCACACUGGAACGGAGACACGGCCCAGACUCUGACGGGGGGCGCAAGUGGGGAAUAUUGCACAAUGGGCGCAAUCCUGAUGCACCCAGGCCGCGGGUAUGAGUAGGGUCUUCGGUUUGUAAAGUCCUUUCAGCGGGGAGGCGUUACCCACAGAAGAAGCACCGGCUAACUCCGUGCCAGCAGCCGCGGUAAUUC